rnacentral:misc_RNA from 1 species
GAUGAAGAACGCAGCGAAAUGCGAUAAGUAAUGUGAAUUGCAGAAUUCAGUGAAUCAUCGAAUCUUUGAACGCACAUUGCGCCCCUUGGUAUUCCGAGGGGCAUGCCUGUUCGAGCGUCAUUAUAACCCCUCAAGCUCAGCUUGGUGUUGGGGCCUGCUGCACUGGCAGCCCUUAAAAUCAGUGGCGGCGCCAUCUGGCUCUAAGCGUAGUAAUUCUUCUCGUUAUGGAGUCCUGGUGGAUGCUUGCCAUCAACCCCCAAUUUUUCUAUGGUUGACCUCGGAUCAGGUAGGGAUACCCGCUGAACUUAAGCAUAUCAAUAAGCGGAGGA